UUGUCUUCUCUCUCUGUCUUGCUCACAUCCUGUCUCUGUAUCAGGCUUUCAUCAACACAGCCAAGGAGAUCUAUGAGAAGAUCCAGGAGGGAGUGUUUGAUAUCAACAAUGAGGCUAACGGUAUUAAGAUCGGACCCCAGCAUCCCACCACCAACUCCACACUGUCCGGUAACCAGGGAGGCCAACAGGCUGGGGGGGGAUGCUGCUGAAGCCCCAACACACCUCCUCCUCCUUCAAACCCCCCUCCUCGCCCGCUCUGACUCUCCCUUGCGGUUCUACAGAACUGUCCAGGCUCACUUAACAGUCUGUUAACCUCUCUCUCUAUUGCUCCAUUCCUUCAUCUUACCCCCCCCCUCUCUUUCUCUCUCUGCCAUCCUUUGUCCCUCAACCAUACCUAAGGGUCUGUGUGCAGCCUGACUUCCUGCAGGUUUAGCCUAAACAUGCUAAAGGUUUGCAGUUUUUGGUGGGGUUACAACGGAUUUGUGUCUUUUUAUUUAAAAAAAGAACAUGCUGGAAUGUGAAGACUUGUGUUCCAGCAGUUUAAUUUGCACACUACUCUUGAUUAGCGAGGAAGGUGUUGGGAUAUUACAGCACCUUGGAAUGCUAAAAGAAAUCUCCAGAAACGAUGAGGCUGAGGGUAGAGAUAAAAACAUCUGACAGUGUAGAGUAAAGCGCCAUGUUGUGUCUAUAUACACAUCUGUACAUGUUUUCUGAAGAUGACGCAGCACGUUGAUAGCAGGACAUGUUAGCACAUGCUUAGUCAGUGAUGGUGCUGUGCAGGAUGUGUGUAGGGGCCAUAUAGGUGCUCCAGUGUGUGAGCUGUAAGAGACAUUCAAGAGAAGUCAACCUGUAUCUUCUGUCCAUAAAAGUGCAAAUGAUCAUCUUAUUUUGUGUUUCCUUUCCUGGUUCUUCUGUCAAUUUUGUUGACUUGCUUUGUAUUUAAUGAACACUACAAACUGGUUGUGGCUUAAAAAAGUGUUUAAAUUUGUCUGGAGAGAGAAUAAAAGACCAAACUGUUGAGUGUGACAAUGGAUCCUUGUAGGAACUACGGAAAGGAAAGCAGAAAGGUUAAAGAAACGUUAAGGGGCACUGAAAGCAGCGGCCGCCAUUAUGAAGUAAAAGAGGAUAGUAGAUUGGAAUUUUUUUGGUAACUAUAUUUAUCGGGCACAUUAUUGUGUAUAUAUGGCUAUUUAGUUUUCUGUAGAUUUUCUGGCUGUUUGAGGUGAAGCUUGGCGUGUCGUUGUGUCUAGUUGUUUCUUUACCAGGGCUGGAAAAAAAGACCUUGAAGCAGUUUUUUAAACAUUUUUAACAACUCUCAUUUAAACCCAAAGGUGCCACACCGCCCUGAAACGUUAGGGUUGCUGGUGCCCUUUCUUUUGAAUGACAAGUGAGUGUUAAGAGGCUAUUAACGGGCCUGUAGAGGCAUUCAGUCCCUGGUGGAGAACAGACUCCAACUGAAAAUGUCAUGUGUCUCCUUUUAAAGCAGGCAGAGAUUUCCACCAUGAAUUAGCUGGUAGAUAUAUCAUGUAUACUGUUUAGAGCUUGGUCGAUGGCUGCUGCAAUGGUUUUUUUUGCUUCGAGAUCCUCGACAUAAUAGGCACCAUUUAAUUAUUCUGAUCAUAUUUUACUUCUUGAGUUACUUAAUGUUCAUCCUCCCAUCCCCACCUCUUCUUCUUCUCUCUCUUCCUCAGACUGUGUGGUAGCUCUGUAUCGAUUUUAAAUGCCAAAUUAUUGUUUACCUGUGUUUGUCAGUAAAAAAAAAUGGGAAAGAAUUAACUAAGCCACUCUAAUCUGUCCUGAAAUCAGCUGCCUGCCUUAACUCCACCCCCUGAGAGAUUUGGACAGCUGCUAGAAACGAAUCCGACUGACCUUUUUUCUGCAUUUUUACCACUAACUAGCUAGUUGACGAUGCAUUACACAUGCAAAGGUGCACACUUAGAGAUAUGUUAAUUCAUAUAACAGGCCUAGUUUGAAUUGGGGCAUUUGAAAUGAAUCCAAACCCACGUGUUAACAUUUUCUUGCCAUCGCCUCCAUGCGCACACACACCCAGCCU